UUCCCAGUCGUAACCUCCCUUUCUUCUUUCUCGACAUAUUCUCCUCCUUACAUCUCCCACAGAACUUCUUCAAUUUCUUCUUUUACUCUUGUUCCAAAGGAAAACAGCCCCAAUUCCCCUUUAAUAUAUAUCCAUUCACGAACAAGGUUGACAGGGUUUCAAAUGGAACAAACCUGGUUUAACUGUUUGGAGUAGGAGUGGUGCUUUUAAGAAGUAAAUUUAGCCCUUCAGCAUUGUCCAAUUCAAUUUAUUUAAGAUUUGACGGGUGAAGGUUCGUUGGGUUGUCGCGAAAUUGCUAAGGACGGUCUAGUUGGCUCGUUAUAGCAAUUCUUCAGCAGCUGAGUAACAAGCUGUUCCUGGAUUCAGAUUGUCAGUUGUCUUGCUUGUAGGCCUCCAUCGGCUGGUGGCCUCAUUGCUAUUUUAUUUCUCUUGAUUAUAGUUAUCUGCAUCUAUAGGGAGUCAUAGGUGAAUUUAGUUUGGGGUUGACGGUAUCUUUUAAUUUUAAAGGUUGACAUUGAACGUCGAAUUUUGGUUUUGUACCUUUUCUUGAAAUUUUGGAUUUUGGAGAAUAUUAUUUAGCAGGUUAUGUUAUUUUGAGAUUACUGAAAUACAGAGGAGACUUUGUCGUUUUUUUUAUAAAUUUAUGCGGACGUAUUUAUCAUGGCGAAUUGGUUAUAAAUGGGUUAUGUGUAAAAGGCUUGCCGGACUUGGGGUGAUAGUCCGUGCGCCGGUCACGGCUUGGGAUUUUUGGGUCGUGA